rnacentral:rRNA from 1 species
ACGGGGCGCAGCAGGCGCGAAAACUUGGCAAUGCGAGAAAUCGUGACCAGGGAACUCCAAGUGGCUGGGGUAAGACCCAGUCUUUUCUUGACUCUUCAAAGGUCUUGGAAUAAGGGGUGUGUAAGGACGGUGCCAGCAGCCGCGGUAAU